rnacentral:rRNA from 1 species
GACGAACGCUGGCGGCGUGCUUAACACAUGCAAGUCGAGCGGUAAGGCCCUUCGGGGUACACGAGCGGCGAACGGGUGAGUAACACGUGAGUAAUCUGCCCAUCACUUCGGGAUAACUCCGGGAAACCGGUGCUAAUACCGAAUAUGGCCACUUCAGGCAUCUGAUGGUGGUGGAAAGUUCCGGCGGUGAUGGAUGAGCUCGCGGCCUAUCAGCUUGUUGGUGGGGUAGUGGCCUACCAAGGCUUCGACGGGUAGCCGGCCUGAGAGGGUGACCGGCCACACUGGGACUGAGACACGGCCCAGACUCCUACGGGAGGCAGCAGUGGGGAAUAUUGGACAAUGGGCGAAAGCCUGAUCCAGCAACGCCGCGUGAGGGAUGACGGCCUUCGGGUUGUAAACCUCUUUCAGCAGGGACGAAGCGCAAGUGACGGUACCUGCAGAAGAAGCACCGGCCAACUACGUG